rnacentral:rRNA from 1 species
AGUGAACGCUGGCGGUAGGCCUAACACAUGCAAGUCGAACGGCAGCACAGUAAGAGCUUGCUCUUACGGGUGGCGAGUGGCGGACGGGUGAGGAAUACAUCGGAAUCUACUUUUUCGUGGGGGAGAACGUAGGGAAACUUACGCUAAUACCGCAUACGACCUACGGGUGAAAGCAGGGGAUCUUCGGACCUUGCGCGAUUGAAUGAGCCGAUGUCGGAUUAGCUAGUUGGCGGGGUAAAGGCCCACCAAGGCGACGAUCCGUAGCUGGUCUGAGAGGAUGUUCAGGCACGAGGGAACUGGGACACGGUCCAGACUCCUACGGGGGUCGGCAGUGGGGAAUCUUGGACAAUGGGCGAAAGCUUGAUGCAGCAAUGCCGCGUGUGUGAAGAAGGUCUUCGGAUUGUAAAGCCCUUUAGGUGGGGAGGAAGUGCAGUAAGUUAAUACCUUGAUGUUUUGACGUUACCAACAGAAUAAGCACCGGCUAACUUCGUG